GGGGAUAGGUUCUAUGGAGGUGUGGGUGAAGGGGCUGCCUCAGUGGGCCCAUGAAAUAUCCCUUCCCCUGAGGGCUGGGGAUGGAGGGGUACUGCUUCCCUCAAUGAAGUCAGCUCUGCAGGUUCCCCCUGCUCGGCCAAUCCUUUCUGGAAAUACCUUCCCAGGUAGUGGUGGAUGCUGAAGAGCUGAGGUCUGCACACCAGAGGCUUUCUUCAGAUGUGGAAAACGGUCAUAUGAGGCCGAUGACCAGAACCAGAGCAGUGUCCCUAACCUGGAGAUGAGGCUGACACUCCUAGCUCGGGUUUUCUGCACUGAGGAAGUCAGCGCAGUCAGGGCAUUGCAAUUACAUCGGAAUCCACCAAAAACACCAUUGCUCUUGAUACUCAGCUGUCCCUGGCUGCCUCUGUUUGGUCAGCUGCAUCCGCUGUGGGCACAAGAGGCUUUCCAAAGCCCUUGGAGGGGGCCAACGCGAAGCCUUGAGUCAUCAGAUCAGCCGGAGACUAAUUCCUUGUGUUUAAUAAAAGGAACUUUUAAAUCAA